AUGUGCAAGCCACAAGCCCAGGCUUACAGCGGGAAUAUUGGUAAAAACAACAGGUUAACACUUAGCCUGGAUGCAAUUGAUCCACUGCUCCAACAGCUGAAAGGAGGGAAAAUAGCAAUUGCCUUUUCUUGGAGAAGUCACCAAGCAGAAAGAUCUCUGGCCUUUUGUUCCCUGGAAACCCACCAGUGAUGUUCGAACCUUUUACAAAGAGCUCGCAUAGAUGUUAUCUAAGGCUACCCCAACGAAGACUCUUCUGGGUAGGCAAGAAAGGAAUUAUUCUCCUCGUUUAGAAGACAGCAAAAGUGAAACUCAGAGAGACUGAGUGCUUUGCUCAAGGUCACCCAACCAGUCAAUACCCAGGGCUUCACAUCCUGGUAUUUUGAACUGCAGAGUAAGUGUUGCUUCCUCUUUUCAUUGCUUCUUGUUGGAAUGAGAACAUACAUUGAAUGACAAAUUGACUUCCCUGCAUUUAGAUUGUUUGUCCCACCUGCCCUUCCUUAGCUCCCGCACUGGCUUCCUAAGUUGGCUUCAGAUCCCUAGUGACUGCCUUCCCAUUCCCCGCUUGCCAUCACCAGAAUUACAAUUCUACAGAAACAAACUUAGUCGUGCCGUUGACCUGUUAGCAACUUCUGCUGUCUCCUCAUCCUCCACCCUCAGCCCUCAGAACUUUCCCUCUUAAUCCUAACAGGAAGAUGGUGGAGGUGUGAGAUGGAACCCAAAGCGUCUGAUUUGAAUCUCCUUGAAAUCUCAUGUAUUAUCACCUCAAGUUUAUGAACUUUCAUGAUAGUCAAUAUAUUUUUGUUUUAAAAAACGAUUUUCCUCUUAAAAUCUUUAAUUAAAUAAAUGCCCUGAAAGCUGCCUCAUCUCUAUCAUCUGACUCUAUGUG
rnacentral:lncRNA from 1 species